UACGAAGGGGGCUAGCGUUGCUCGGAAUCACUGGGCGUAAAGCGCACGUAGGCGGAUUGUUAAGUCAGGGGUGAAAUCCUGGAGCUCAACUCCAGAACUGCCUUUGAUACUGGCGAUCUUGAGUUCGGGAGAGGUGAGUGGAACUGCGAGUGUAGAGGUGAAAUUCGUAGAUAUUCGGAGGAACACCAGAAGCGAAGGCGGCCAACUGGCCCGAUACUGACGCUGAGGCGCGAAAGCGUGGGGAGCAAACAGG
rnacentral:rRNA from 1 species